GCAGGUGAGGGAGUGACUGGGGAGAGGAAGUCAGAGAGCAUCUCAGGGAAAGAAACAGCGGCAUUGCCUUCUGUGGUUUCAGGACCCUGAGCAAAUUGGUGGCUCAGAAGCCUUCUCAGAGUUCAGGAAACAGGAGGAAAAGGAUAUGAAUCAACCAAGUAGCUCAACCAGACGGUUCUAGCCAGUUCCACCCUACCCCGUGCUCCUCGGCCCUGAAGGGUGGCCUUUGCGAAGAGAAAGAGGGGCUUGCCAGAGCAGAGGAUGGACAGAGGUGCCCUGGGGCCCUGUUGAGUAAAAUCUCCAGAGGCCAAGGCAUUUUGGGAGAAGCUACAAUCAUCCCUACUUAUUCCAGAUUUCAAAAAAACUUAGCCCUAACCUUUUCCCUAGCAAGAUGUCCUCAGAUUCCCCUGCACGCGUCACACAAAACACCCCGAGCCCUGAGCGGCCUGCCCCCCCCAUCCCCACGAGGUGUGGGAGCUCACAUCCUUUCAGCUAAUGUUCAGUGUUUUCCUGGGAGAUCUCCACAGAGCUGGUCAUGAAACUGGGCUGAGGCAUCCUGUCAAAACCCCUGGAGCUGACGAGCCGGGGAAUCGUGGGGAGGGAUGAGAGAGACAGGAAAGGCAGAAAAACCCAGGAAGUGGUUGAUGGGUGGGAGACCAUGAUACAGAGGGCCGUCUUCCUCCCCCAAAACCAAGAGCAACACUCGGCAGACCCAGGAGCAUCCUCAGUCCAGGCCAGUGGGGAGGACAAAGCCUGUACUCCUCCACGGCCCCAAAGGUGCCUAACAACGGGGCUUUACACAGAGUGGGCACUCAUAAAUGUGCUAAUAAUUGACUUUUUUUUUUUUUUUAAACAGAUACCAGCUGAAGAGGUGAUGCGGUCAUGUCAAGGUAACUCGUAACUGACCGCAGCCACAAAGCUCUUUUCCUGAAACUGUAAACACUCUCCAUUGUCUGGAAUGUGAAAGGAAAGGCCCACAGCCCUGUGACACAGCUAGGGCUCCUAAUCCCGGCUGCAUCGAGGGCCACUUCCGGUCAAAUGGACUUUCCCCCCCGAGAAGGCCAGACAUUUGCAGAAAGGAUGUGUUUGUUUUCGAACUCGGGUGGAUUGGUUCACCCAAGCCCUCUUAUUCUUAUUAUUUCAUUUCUCACAGAUAUGGAGCACCUACUCUGUGCCUGGUCCUGUGCUGGGUGCCGCCUGGGUCACACGAUCACUGAGCCAUCAGAAACACAAGCGCCUGACAGAGGCCUACAGUCGUAAAGUGAGGCCAGUGCCCCGGCUGCACCGUCGUUUUUCCCCUUCCUGGGCCUGAGUCUCCGCACAACUCCCAGGACGCUGGAGCGGAGCGUGAGUAAGGGCAGGCCCUGCCCCUGGGUGAACACUCCACGGCCCUGGGCAGCUCUGGGAACUGUCUGCAAGCAGCACAGGGAGUUCACAUUUGUAUUCCAGAGGCGACACAGUCUCAGAUGGAGUUCAACGGGCCCUUCUGGGGAUCAUUUCUCAUGCUCCUGGAACCCUGACCCGGAGUCCAGCCAAGAAUUCACCAAUCUGUUAGAACACUUCUGCCAGGUGUGCAGAGUCUUGGCAGACCAAAUCCACAUGCCUGAGGUGAUGCCCACCAGCAAA